CGCCAGACUCCUACGGGAGGCAGCAGUGGGGAAUAUUGCACAAUGGGGGAAACCCUGAUGCAGCGACGCCGCGUGAGUGAAGAAGUAUUUCGGUAUGUAAAGCUCUAUCAGCAGGGAAGAAAAUGACGGUACCUGAUUAAGAAGCCCCGGCUAACUACGUGCCAGCAGCCGCGGUAAUACGUAGGGGGCAAGCGUUAUCCGGAUUUACUGGGUGUAAAGGGAGCGUAGACGGUGAUGCAAGUCAGAAGUGAAAGCCCGGGGCUCAACUCCGGGACUGCUUUUGAAACUGUGUAACUGGAGUGCAGGAGAGGUAAGCGGAAUUCCUGGUGUAGCGGUGAAAUGCGUAGAUAUCAGGAGGAACACCAGUGGCGAAGGCGGCUUACUGGACUGUAACUGACGUUGAGGCUCGAAAGCGUGGGGAGCAAACAGGAUUAGAUACCCCCGUA
rnacentral:rRNA from 1 species